CAACAUCUAUGUUUCAGAUGCAAUUUUUAACAUUACAAAACAAAAUUAAUGUUGCCAAAGCGCACUUAAGUAUUGAAAUCUCAAUUCAAAGUCCGCCAAUGCAAAACAGAAGAGUCAAAACGAACUUAUUAAAAUGUUUCAGUGCAAAAUAUUUGUUUAACAAUGCGAAAUGAUUAUCGCGCACCAAAGCUAAUGCAGGCUCAUUCAGAAUCAGCAAGUGUGUUUUGAUUUUAAAUGCUGUUAUGUUUUGCUGUAAAUGUGGCUAUAAACUUGAAAAAACGUUCUUGUUUUGUCCAAGUUACGGCACCAAGAAGCAGGUAGAAGACCUUGAAUCUUCUACUUCCUCGUGUCUAUCUAAAGACUUAAACAACGAAAGCAACUUGAAGAGAAACAAAACAAAGAGCCCAGAGGGAAAAUUCACAAUUUUUUUACCUACAGAAAUGAAAAGGAGGCUGAGCGUCGCUCAUACUUUGAGCCGAAAUUGAAGAAAAGAAAAGUUUGCUCAAAAAGAGAAAAAGAUCAAGAGGUUUUGAUCAAUGUUGGGAUUAUGGAGUUCGAACCAUGCGGUUCAGGCAGUCUCAGAAAAGUGUUCGGAAGAAAGUGUCAACGACGAAGGGGGAAGACUAUGACCGGUCAUUUGAUCGAUAUCGCGGUUAUGUAUUGGUAUAUGCUGACGGAAAAAUUACGCGCACUAUUGCAGGUACCGAUAUCGAGUUUUCUCUGAAGAAAUAAAAGGAAGGCCUUGGCAAAGCUUAUUCAAGGAUAACACUUUAUUUGGCUCCAGUCUUGGAAGCCAAUGAAGCGAAAGAAAAGGAAGUUCUUUUGGAAAAUGAAGAUGAAUUCAGUAAUCUAACCAACGAUGAAGCUAGAAUUGUGGAAAAUAAUUCUUUUACAGAUGAGUAUGAUGAAGGAGAUAGAUCAACUACCAUUAAAACUGAUGAUGACAUGAGAGAUGGAAAUAAUGAGAAUGUUCAACUGAGCAGUCCAGUGUUGGAUGUUGAUGAGCAAACAUUGCUAUAUCAGAUUGAAGAUUUCAUUCCAAUUGGCUACAAUGAGAAUAGUGCUGUCGAAAAAGCUCUCAGGCUCAGCUUAAACCGCAUUAUGGAUAACAAAAGUGAUGUGUUGACCCAACAAUGUCCGUCAAUGAUUUACAAGAGAAGAUAAAGCAACAUACAAAGAUUAAAGUUCAAGGUCCAGAGAGAAAUAUUGUUGUAAGUCGUCUGAGUAUUUGGCAAACAGCCAUGCCUUAUUUCAAAAGAAGUGGCUUCUUGUCUUCACAUGGUUUGUUGUGUUCAUUUAUUAUUAAAGAAGAAACAAAACAACAUAUAUUUAAUAUGAAAACCCACUUACUUCCAACUACAUUCUUUCCACUGGGUAAAGCUACCAACUCCCACGUUUUAUUCUCCAUCAGUGAAAUAUACUCAGCAUCAGUGGCUUCAAUCUAUUCCUUUUUCUGAUCACAUGACCAUGCUUCAUUAAUGUUCCUGGGUUCAUUAAUAUCUGCAGUGAGAUCAUCUGCAACAUAUACCUCUUCAUCGAAUCUAACGGGGGUCUUCGUUCUCUUCGCAAAUUCAGAUUCUCAACUUGUUGCAUAAAAGUUUCUUCAUAAAUUUCUCCCACUGGAUUAUUAGGUUCAGGAUGAAAAAUAUUAUCUUCUCUUACAGCGAGAUCAUCAUUUUCCACAUUACCAUCAUCAGUUUGCAUAAGAGGUGUCUGCAUAUAAAUGUAUUAGCAGUGUUUGAAUUUUUAUUGUCAAAGUUGUAAAACUUCCAUUCAUCAAAAAUUAAAUCUUGGCUCUUGAUGAAUGACGUUGUUUCUGGAUUCUACAAUUUGAAUCCUUUUGUACCUUCAGGAUAACCCAUAAAUAUGCAUUUCG